AGCCGGACGCGGGGCUCAAACCCACGGACCGUGAGAUCAAGACCUGACCCGAAGUCGGACACGGUGGACUCCAUCCGUAUCUCUGACUCUUCUGUGCCUCCCUGGGGGUCCCAGCUUGGUGGGAGCCCAGUGUUGAACUGACCCUCAGCCACCGCUGACCCACUGCAGCAAGAGAAGGAAGCCCAAAUGGGGAGCCAGGAAAAGACCCCAGGGAUGCCGCACGCCUGGGACAACGGUGCUCCUCCCUUCUCGUAUCCCGGACUUGUACGCUCCCAAGAAUUUGCAGGACACCGUGCCGUGCGGGCGCUGUGCUGGCCCAGGGUGCCUGAUCAUCCUGACGGAUGGGUGUCCUGCCGACCAUCUUCUUCGCGCCCCUCCCGAUUCAGUCCUCCCUUCCCUGGCGGCCGACCUGCCUGGACUCCAUCGUCCCACCCUGGCCUGUGCUCCCGGCUGGAGCUGGCAGCGGGGGCUCCGUGGACCACAGGACGCCAGCCAGAGAGAAUCCCAAGUAGGCUUCGCGCUGUCAGCAUAGAGCCCGACGUGGGGCUCAAACCCAUGAACCGUGAGAUCGUGACCUGAGCCGAAAUCAAGAGCCGGAUGCUUCACCGACUGAGCCAGCCAGGUGCCCCCAAACACCUUCAAUUUAAAACCCAGUUCGAGCGGCUGUUUAUUUCCAGCCCAGCGAGACCCGGACUGAUCCCGUGUCCCUAACCGGGCUAUUACCGGUUACCCGCUGUCCACGCACCUGACGCCUACUGGAAGGUGGGGUUCCGCGCCCAGCUUACCCCUCGGAGGAGACACUCCCCGCUGGAACACGGGCUCGGGGAGCCCAGGGGCUUCGUCUUCCUUUUCCCGGAAUUCCUGCUGAGAUCAUGGCAGAGUCGCCCCUAGUCAUACGAGAGGGUCCAGGGAGGUGGAUCCCCCAGGGGUAACGUUUCGCAAAACGGCCGUACGAAGGUGCCAGCGGCGUCUCAAUGCUGACACCACCCACCUGGUCACUCACAUCUCUGUCAGAUCUACCUGUGGUCGUGCGCGCGUGUGAGCUCAGGGUUGUGCAUGACGUGCACGUUUCCCUCAGCACCAGGAAGCUGUUAAUCUGAUCUCUCUGGAUUUUGUAUUCUAACCUGAUUUCUUCAAGAGCCUCUUAAGACCUUAUUUUGUGACGACUUUCCUCCCACUGCCAGAACCGUGCCUGGCACGUGACAGAGACUCAAACGCCUUUACCGGCUGAGCAUCGGGUGCGUUUCGUCCUCAGGACCCCCCGUUUGCGCGGACGGGGAAGCGGGGCUCAGGGCUGGGCUCACGCUGGGGGUCUUGAGGCCCCGGGGGCCGCAGUCUGGCUCCUGCUGUCCCUGCUGCACCCCGAGGGGUGGCACGGAGGGCAUCUGGAUGCAGGGGGUCCCGGGCACCCCUGUUCAACCUCGGCGUCUUCCCCUCCGUCUGCGGGUCGUCCUUCCCACAGCUGUGCCGGGCGGCCGUCCCCCGAGCCCGUCCAAGGCCGAUAAAAAGUGCCGGGCAGGACGCGGCGGAGCCUGGAGGCCGGCCGGCCUGAUAACUGGCUUCGCUUUGAUGUUUUUCAAGUUCAGAACGGACCCCGGGCCCCUUGGCCAGCGUUGCAUGCUUGUUUAUUUUUGUCGCCGUGUAGGCUUGUGUGAUUUCCCCUUCCCAAGUGGGACAGCUAUCAUUAUUGCUGUCAUUACCCUAUUGGAAACGUUGCUAAACGCACUCUCCCGCUCCACCCCACCCCUCCUUCCAAGCGCCUGAGGAAGACCACCCACGACGUCAGACCUUCCCUCCAUUUAAUUUUAGUCUCAGGAUGUAAGUUUGCAAUUUCAUCACAAUUAAAAAAAAAAAAAAAA